UCGUUCGCUUUACAUACGUUGUCAGGCUCAAAUUUUGUUGAUUGAUUUAUUUUAUUUAGUUUUGAGUCAAGAAAUCAAAAUGUGUUGCGGAGAUCUACAAAAAAAUACAAUAAUAGUCGGAAUAACUGCGAUAGUAUGUUCAAUCAUCUUUCUAAUUAUGGGGUACCCAGAUCGUGAUAGUAGAAGAUACGGCCUAUUUUACGAUAAUGCAAAAAUUGAGCUUACUAGAACUAUUUUCGCGAUGUGGGUUCUGAUUGGUCUAGCCGCUGCUGCACUUGUGGUUGGGGCGUUUUUGGCAAAAGAAUCUUUACAUUGUGCUGGCAUGGCUCGUCGUACUUUUCGUGUGCGGAAUCUCUUUGAUCAUUUUUUACACCGGAUUUAUAAGGAAACGUGAUAGCGAAUUUUUUUUUGUUGUAUGCUCCGUAAGACUUUCUCUCGUCAUCGCUUUUUUUGUGAUUUGGUUUUGGGUGUCACUGGUGUACUUUCUGAACCUCUCCGGCUAUACAGCGUUCUGUAGAAAGUCCCGAUCCUAGGACUCGUAAUAUAUAUUACAUACAUAUAUAUACAUUUGGUGUGAAUUUUGAAUUCAAUAAAUCUUGAAGUGUGCUUUCGUCUCAAUUUUCUGCACCGAAUAAUUUGGAUUUGCGGAGCGGAAAGUGUAUUGAAACAGCCUAAAAAGCAGCCAACGCCACCCAUUUGCUGUCUCUCUCUCUCUCUCACACACUCUUCGUCGUGCAAUUUGUGCGCCCCCUGGCGGAGGAGAGCCAUGCUGACUAGAUGUUGGGUAUAAACGUAGAGUCCCGGCCGUAGAGGCGACUCAUAACGUUCCCCCUCGAUUUUUUGGAUCAAACAAUCAAUUUCUAAUUAAAAUACAUACUAAGUAUUUGGGUUUCGUAUUGUAUAGUGUUUGCUAGUAGCUACAAAACGAUCGGAUUGACACUCUAUGAUUGUAAAUUCAAAGUCAGUUUCAACCAUAUUUCAAUGUUUUAUUUACAUUCAAAUAGCUAUAUUAUCCCUGACAUGGAAACAACCCAUUAAUUCAAGAGUAAAUUAUACAUUUUGACUUUUAAAUGGCUGCUUCAAUUGCAAGAACUAUAGCAGACUCAGAUGAAGAAAGCCGCUCUAUAGCCA